rnacentral:rRNA from 1 species
GACGAACGCUGGCGGCAUGCCUAAUACAUGCAAGUCGAGCGGACCCGAGGUGCUUGCACCUCAAUGGGUCAGCGGCGGACGGGUGAGUAACACGUGGGCAACCUGCCCAACAGACUGGGAUAACUCCGGGAAACCGGAGCUAAUACUGGAUAUCCUCUUUUCACCACCUGGUGAAAAGAGAAAAGGCGGUUUCGGCCGCCACUGUUGGAUGGGCCCGCGGCGCAUUAGCUAGUUGGUGAGGUAAGGGCUCACCAAGGCGACGAUGCGUAGCCGACCUGAGAGGGUGAUCGGCCACACUGGAACUGAGACACGGUCCAGACUCCUACGGGAGGCAGCAGUAGGGAAUCAUCCGCAAUGGGCGAAAGCCUGACGGUGCAAUGCCGCGUGAGUGAUGAAGGUUUUCGGAUCGUAAAGCUCUGUUGUGAGGGAAGAACAAGUUCGGGAGGAAAUGCCCGAGCCGUGACGGUACCUCACCAGAAAGCCACGGCUAACUACGUGCCAGCAGCCGCCGUAACAC